UACGGAGGGUGCGAGCGUUAUUCGGAAUUACUGGGCGUAAAGCGCGUGCAGGCGGGAAGACAAGUCUGAUGUGAAAGCCCUGGGCUUAACCUGGGAAGUGCAUUGGAAACUGUUUUUCUUGAGUACUGGAGAGGAAGGGAGAAUUCCCGGUGUAGAGGUGAAAUUCGUAGAGAUCGGGAGGAACACCAGUGGCGAAGGCGCCCUUCUGGACGGUUACUGACGCUGAGACGCGAAAGCGUGGGGAGCAAAC
rnacentral:rRNA from 1 species